AUGGCGAGGGGCUGGCGGAGGCGGGGCGGGGGAGGCGGGGCUCGGGGGACGCUGCCCCGCCCGGGACGCCUGACGGUCCUGCUUACUUGUGAGGGGACUAGAGGGAGGCGGGGUGUGAGCUACACCUGCACACGUACCUACACACACCACACCCCAAAUACACCACACACACACCACACACACCACACACCUACACACACCACACACCACACAUACAGCACACACACCACACACCAACACACAGCACACAGCACACACCUACAUACACCACACACACACCACACAACCACACACCACACACCACACAUACAGCACACACCUACACACACCACACAGCACACACACACCACACAGCACACACACUUACACACACCACACACCUACACACACCACACACCACACACCUAUACACACACCACAGACACCACACACCUACACACACCACACACCACACAUACAGCACACACCUACACACAGCACACACCUACACACAGCACACAGCACACACACACCACACACCUACACAUAACACACACCUACACACACACCACACACCUACAUACACCACACACACACCACACACAUCACACACCACACACCACACAUACAGCACACACAGCACACACCAACACACAGCACACACCACACACCUACGCACACCACACACACACCACACACACCACACACAUCACACACCUACACACACCACACACCACACAUACAGCACACAUACAGCACACACCUACACACAGCACACACCUACACACACCACACAGCACACACACACCACACACACCACACACCUACAUACACCACAUACACACCACACACAUCACAUAUGCACACAAAGACACACGCACAUCCCACAUACACGCACAUGCAUGCACACGUGCACACACUCCCUCAGGCUCUGAGGACCAGGGCCUGUGCCGCCAUCACAGCUCACUCACUCAGCAAUACGUCAACCAACAAGGAUCUUUUCAAGGCCUCCUAUGUGCCUGA
rnacentral:lncRNA from 1 species